UACGGGGGGGGCAAGCGUUGUUCGGAAUUACUGGGCGUAAAGGGCUCGUAGGUGGCCAACUAAGUCAGACGUGAAAUCCCUCGGCUUAACCGGGGAACUGCGUCUGAUACUGGAUGGCUUGAGUUCGGGAGAGGGAUGCGGAAUGCCAGGUGUAGCGGUGAAAUGCGUAGAUAUCUGGAGGAACACCGGUGGCGAAGGCGGCAUCCUGGACCGAUACUGACGCUGAGGAGCGAAAGCCAGGGGAGCAAACGGG
rnacentral:rRNA from 1 species